ACUCAAAGGAAUUGACGGGGACCCGCACAAGCGGUGGAGCAUGUUGCUUAAUUCGACGCAACGCGAAGAACCUUACCGGGGUUUGAAGUGUACUUGAAGGGUGCAGAGAUGCAUUCCGCUCUUCGGAGCAGGUACAUCAGGUGCUGCACGGCUGUCGUCAGCUCGUGUCGUGAGAUGUUGGGUUAAGUCCUGUAACGAGCGCAACCCUUAUUCGUAGUUGCCAACAGGUAAAGCUGGGAACUCUACGGAGACUGCCGGUGAUAAACCGGAGGAAGGUGGGGAUGACGUCAAGUCAUCGUGGCCCUUACGUCCCGGGCUGCAAACGUGCUACAAUGGUCGGUACAAAGAGAUGCAAGACCGCGAGGUGGAGCAAAUCUCAAAAAACCGGUCUCAGUUCGGAUUGCUGUCUGCAACUCGACAGCAUGAAGUUGGAAUCGCUAGUAAUCGCGGAUCAGCAUGCCGCGGUGAAUACGUUCCCGGGUCUUGUACACACCGCCCGU
rnacentral:rRNA from 1 species